rnacentral:rRNA from 1 species
UACGGGGAGUCCAAGCGUUAUCCGGAAUCAUUGGGUUUAAAGGGUCCGUAGGCGGUUUAAUAAGUCAGUGGUGAAAGCCCAUCGCUCAACGGUGGAACGGCCAUUGAUACUGUUAAACUUGAAUUAUUAGGAAGUAACUAGAAUAUGUAGUGUAGCGGUGAAAUGCUUAGAGAUUACAUGGAAUACCAAUUGCGAAGGCAGGUUACUACUAAUGGAUUGACGCUGAUGGACGAAAGCGUGGGUAGCGAACAGG